rnacentral:lncRNA from 1 species
CUUUAGACUGUUGUACGGUCACAUUGGAUUUGAAAGAAACAUCCUUUCUUCCAUACAUCCACGCUGCCUGAAAGACGACAGCUUCCUGAAUCCAACGAUACCAGAUAUGUGCACAUCGGACCUCCGCUUCAAAAGAUACGGCCAGAUACUACAAAAAUACUACAUUUGAAAAAGGAUUCUUGAAAGUGCAGUACCUUUGUGUGACCACAAGAUGUAGGUGUCACAUCACCUAUGAACCUACCCUAUGUUAAAAUCAUACACACUUGUAAAGGUAAGGUUGUAAAUAUAUAUAUUUGUAUGAUCCUGUGACACACCACACACACACAAACAACACCUCAACUAAACUUACCAGUCACACACACCUGGGCGACACAGACCUAAGUCGUA